rnacentral:rRNA from 1 species
GAUGAACGCUGGCGGCGUGCCUAAUACAUGCAAGUCGAGCGAACAGACGAGGAGCUUGCUCCUCUGACGUUAGCGGCGGACGGGUGAGUAACACGUGGAUAACCUACCUAUAAGACUGGGAUAACUUCGGGAAACCGGAGCUAAUACCGGAUAAUCUCUUGAACCGCAUGGUUCAAUAGUGAGAUACGGUUUUGCUGUCACUUAUAGAUGGAUCCGCGCCGCAUUAGCUAGUUGGUAAGGUAACGGCUUACCAAGGCAACGAUGCGUAGCCGACCUGAGAGAGUGAUCGGCCACACUGGAACUGAGACACGGUCCAGACUCCUACGAGAGGCAGCAGUAGGGAAUCGUCCGCAAUGGGCGAAAGCCUGACGGAGCGACGCCGCGUGAGUGAUGAAGGUCUUCGGAUCGUAAAACUCUGUUAUUAGGGAAGAACAAAUGUGUAAGUAACUAUGCACGUCUUGACGGUACCUAAUCAGAAAGCCACGGCUAACUACGUG